UAAGUGGUUAGCAUUUCCAAGUUAGCAGGGUAUUCUGCAGGAAAGUGCAUAUAUGUUGGGAUUAUGCAGUCAUUCCAGAUUCUUACUUUAUUUGAUUUGCUGCAACGAAUUAUUUAUGAUGAAAAAUUAUCAUGUUUAAUAUGAUGCUUACUUUCAUUUAUAUGUCAGUCUUAGAUGUGGAAAUUGAUUAUGUGAGUGUUGAAUCGAGUCUUACCCAAAGAUAUCCGAGUAACUGGCUGGUGUCGUGUUCCAAUUGAUUUUAGUGCAAGGUUGUUUUCCUUCUCAUGGUGUACUUUAUUUUGAUUCGAUAUGUUGGGAUUCUGUUGAUGAAAUGCGUUAGAGAUGCCUCCAAUUUGUUGAUUUUAUAAUGUUAAUGAUUGCGGAAACAUAGGUGGGGUUUGCCUUUUCACAUGAUUCUGUCUUCCUCAAUAUCUUGCAGGUUUAGCUGUAUGAGCAGGUAGUACAAAUAUUUCUUUUGGAGAGAUAAUUUGGAUAUUAGGGCAAUGGAGAGUGCAGGCCAAAAGUUUGUGGGGGAUCAUGAUUUCAGAAAUUUUUGUAAGAUGGAUGCAUUUAAUGUCCACAACUACAAGCGUCAUAUAACAUCCUUUGAACUCUCUUCUUGUGAUAAGAGGUUGGAAAGUAAUGAACUGUGGUGUUUCAAAAUUAAGGGCAGUGCAUUUUGUGGCACCAAGUUCGUUGCAUGGUUGCUGUGAUGUUUAUGGUUGGCCAAGGUCUUGAAUCUCCUGAUGUACGUAAUAUAAGACACUUCGCCAUUCUCUGUCUUGAUUACCAUAAGUUGAACGUAGGAAAUGGGUGAGAGACAGUUUGUUUGAUAUCUAUUAGUUAAUGCAACAAAAUGCACGGGGCUACCAAUAUUGGACAAGACAUUAUGGAGAAAAGGCUUUAUAUGAGAUGACACUGCAAUCUGCAUAACCAUAUGGUGACACAAACUAAUCCUUUUUUAGUGAGUCAGUUGUUUGGCAUGUGGAAAAUAAAGAUGUAAUGUUCAAAUGCUUUGCUAACACUAGUUGGCAUGAGCAAGAAACAUGCUAUUAAAAAUUGAAGGCUCUGGAAAAAGGAAUGCAAAAUGCGUCAGAGAAAAAUUCUCAAUGUUCUGAUGGAUUCAAUAGUCUAGAUGGUCAAGCUGCUCUCGGAAUUGGUGCUAGUAAAGAGAGAGCUAAGAAGAGAAAGCUUGUGCAGAAAAAUGACAUUCGGAAGAAACGCAUGACUGACAAUGGAAAGCAAAUUAUUGCUACUUCUAAGAGUAGGAAUGAUGAUGGCAAGCAAAUUAUUGCUGCUUUUAAGAGCAGGAAUGAUGAUGGCAAGCAAAUUAUUGCUGCUUUUAAGAGACAUGGAUCGAACAAGAAAGCUGCAAUACCUGAAAUAGGUAAUUCACAAUUAAGAAAGAGAACAAUUGUAAACAGGGGUUCACGGUCUGCCAUGGAAGAAAAUGGAGCAAAAGAAGGUUCAAAUGGUCCAAAUAAACAAAAGAAGCUUUCUGGAGAGUUGAAAUGUCCACCAGUAAAGCCAAAAAAAAAAGAGACUGUCAUGUGAAUGAUACACCAAUGUGCAUAAGCGGCACCGCCAGAGUGAAUUUCAGCAGGUUGAUCAGGUUUUGGGCUGUCGUGUUAGAGAGAAGCAGGACAGACAUCGACAUAGUACUUCUGGCGAAAUGAACUUAGAUGCAGGAGAUAGGGCUGGACUUGCUGAUGACAGACAAGCUGAUAUAAGCAUUGACAGUGAUAUCAAACUGCACAAUCUGAAUGUUUUUCAGUGGUUAUCCUCUCAUCGGUUGGAAUUUUAAUGGUAAUGCUGGAGGAAGAGUCGAAAACUGUAAAACUUGGUUGACAACAUUUCAUCUUUUUUCUAUUGAGGUUGAAAGACGUGAUUUGAGCAGGAGGAGCCCCAUAGGUGCUCUCUGAUGAGAAGUCUCUCCAAGGUUUUAAUUUCUCCAAUCCUAUUCAAUUUGAACAACUAAAGACAUAUUGGUGCAUAUGUAAAUGGCAUUUGAAACAGCGCAUGCAUAUAAAUAACCGAAUGUGCAGAUAUAUCACUUGCUACUAGAGUCACUGAGGGGAUGAUUAGGAACUCUUCCAAGGAUCUGGAUCCUCACAUUUCGAAGAUAAAUACCAAGUUGGUAUGGCAAGGAAGAGGAUCUAAAGAAUUUCUGCAGCUUUUGAGUGUGUAAAUAUACAAACAAAAUCGACAUUAGUUAACUUUCAGUUAGUUUUGGAAAUCAGAACAAUCUUGAAUUUUUAAUUCUUGUUAUAAAGAAUAUGGUGGUUCUUAAUUCUCACUCUUUGUAUUGUUGGAAGAUAUCUUGAAAACUUUGUUAUUCAAACAUCGAAAUGCUGUGUUCAAGUUCUUUUUGGCCCUCAACUA